rnacentral:rRNA from 1 species
GACGAACGCUGGCGGCGUGCUUAACACAUGCAAGUCGAACGGAAAGGCCCUGCUUUUGUGGGGUGCUCGAGUGGCGAACGGGUGAGUAACACGUGAGUAACCUGCCCUUGACUUUGGGAUAACUUCAGGAAACUGGGGCUAAUCCCGGAUAGGAGCUCCUGCUGCAUGGUGGGGGUUGGAAAGUUUCGGCGGUUGGGGAUGGACUCGCGGCUUAUCAGCUUGUUGGUUGGGUAGUGGCUUACCCAGGCUUUGACGGGUAGCCGGCCUGUGAGGGUGACCGGCGACAUGGGGACUGAGAGACGGACCAGACUCGUACGGGAGGCAGCAGGGGGGAAUAUUGCACAAUGGGAGGAAGCCUGAGGCAGCAACGCCGCGUGCGGGAUGACGGCCUUCGGGGUGUAAACAGCUUUCGCCUGUGACGAAGCGUGAGUGACGGUAAUGGGUAAAGAAGCACCGGCUAACUACGUG